rnacentral:lncRNA from 1 species
GGAUUACUCAGAGUUGGUCCUUGACCAUUUGUAGGACUGGUGCCCUUUCUCUUGAGAUCCCUUGGUUCCCCUUCUAUUAGCAUACUGAACUAUUCUCCACAGUCACCUUUGCUUAGUCCCUGGAAAUGUCCCCUUAAAGACUGGCUAUUUCCCAGUUAAAGUUAAACCCAUACAUUUAAACCACUGAUUAUCCCAGUUUAUACCACUUACAUGGAAUCUGGGAUCCUGGAUCUUCUAUUUUUUGUACUAGUACCCAUUGUUCUGUCCAUUUGAAAGAAAGCCUCCAGCACUUAAGGCCUUAGGCAUUUACAUAAAUCUAUUUAGUAUCCAACAAAAACCUAUGACCACCACCACAAACCAAAACACCAAAGUCAUAUGUUGGAAUGUGAUUUCACUACACUGAGUAUGUAAUUCAGGGAUUACUUCAAAAUAUAGAUAAGAAGGCUGGAGGUAUGGCUCAGUGGUAAAAUGAUUGCCUGGAAUGCACAAGGCCUUGGGUUCAAUCCCCAACACCACAAGAAAAAAUAAAGGCAGGGAUGAAAAUAUAGACAGGUAGUUAGGUGGGCAAAUAAUAUGAAGGAGUUCAACUGAAGGUUGUAAAGGUUUCUUGCUACUUUAAAAUUUAUGAUUCUAUUUUUCUGUAAGAACCAUGCCAG